UACGUAGGGUGCGAGCGUUAAUCGGAAUUACUGGGCGUAAAAGCGUGUGUAGGCGGCUCGCUAAGUCUGGUGUGAAAAUCCCCCAAGCUUAACUUGGGAACUGCAUCGGAAGCUGGCGGGCUUGAGUCCGGGAGAGGGUAGCGGAAUUCCUGGUGUAGAGGUGAAAUUCGUAGAUAUCAGGAGGAACACCGGUGGCGAAGGCGGCUACCUGGACCGGUACUGACGCUGAGACGCGAAAGCGUGGGGAGCAAACAGG
rnacentral:rRNA from 1 species